rnacentral:ncRNA from 1 species
GAGAACUGCGAGAAGUCAACCUAGUACGAGAGGACUAGGUUGGACUAACCUAUGGUGCACCGGUUGUUAUGCCAAUAGCAACACCAGGUAGCUAAGUUGGUAUGGAAGAACCACUGGGCUGUGGGAAAUCCUUCUCUAUACAAAUUCUC